GUUAGUGUUGCAUUGUUGGUCACUUAUUAGAUUGUCACUCACUAACUUCUUAGAGUUUCUGGGUUGUGUUAUAAAUACAAGAUGAAGCCUGACUUCUGUGCACUUUGACCUCCAAGGGGGCAAAGGGUCAAGGGUCUUGCUUGCUUUCUCUCUCAUUGACGUCAAAGAGGGCUAAAAUACCUCUGAAUUGCUGGCUGUCUCACCUUUUUUUUUUACCAGUUUUUUAUUAAGUUCUUCAGAAAAUCAAAUUACAUACAUACAUACAUAAAUAUAGACAGAAAUGCAGAUAUACAGAAAUGCACACAUACAAAGAUACAAACAUUAAAAUCAUCAUUGUUUGAUGGAAAUUAACACAAGAAUUAUAUCUUCUGAGAGUUAGAAUAUCUUCUUUAUGUUUGCAUUUAUGUGGGUAAACCUUACACCCACAUCUACUACCUUAAUUUCCCACUUUAGUUGAAUACCAAACUUAAUAUUUUCAACUAUGAAUGAAAAAGCAUGAAAAACUAGGAUUGAUAAGACAUGAAUCCCUGCUUCUAAUUAGAAUGGUAAAAUCUUAAAAAUCAUAUUAUUAGUUUUAAAAUGAAUUAGUAGUUAUUGGUUUGACAAUUUAAAAAAAGAGUGUUGCCUAUUUGUAAACUAAAUGUUGGUUAAUUAAUCUAACAUCCUUUCUUAAUGUUUUUCAGUUUGUUUAGUUCCAGUUUCGUUAGUUUGGGUUUGCUUGUGGCUUUGGUCCCAGUUGGUGUCCAUACCGAGCCUCCAGAGUCUGUUCUCGAAAUCAAGGCCACCUGGAAGUACCAAAUGUCGCAGUUCCUCAGGUAGGUGGAUCCAUGGGUGGACUCAUCAAAGCUAUCGCUUUACCCUGUCCUGCCCAAUCGCCCUUUUUCGGAACGUUGUUGAGUUGGGCGGAGGUGACAUGCCCGACCCACUUUGGGCUUCGUUUUCACCAUUCAGAAAUCUAUGAGUGAUGUCGGAUACUAUCAAUGUCGUGUUUUGUAUGUUUGUGGUUCAUGCAUCUCUGAGAGAGUGACUAUCUUUAUUUGAGGCACAAAAAAGCAGAUAAAUUGGACAUUUCUAAGUAGUUUAUAACAGGUUUUACAGUUUUUACAGUAUAUCUAACCCUGAAAAUGACUACUGAAUGUGGGACAGGGCCAAUCAUAUGAAUGUAAUAAUUUGCUCAGAACUCAUGCCUCAGUUGCUUAUUUUUUCUACAUACUGUCCUACCUUUAGUUAAGAAAGCUGAAAUAUAACUCAGGAUGAGAAUUUUGUCAAACAAGCAUAAACUUGCUGACAAUCUUGUGGUGGCACAGUGAAUAUAGAGUCCCCAUCUACUGUAAAUGUGACACUUGUAAAUGUUAGACGGUCAAGGUUUUGACGACAUUGUUGAAAUACAUUCAAGCUUUAAAUAUUGCAACUGAAAUUUAAAUGUAAACCUUUGACAUAAACCACACAUUUGAAUAAUACAUACUAUUAUCAAUGGUAUUUGUCAUUAGCCAUAUUAAAAUUAAGUAUUAUGACUCCCCAACAUCACUUUUAUGGCAUACACUUGGUGUACCUGAAGCACAAAAGCUUUUGUACACAGGAUCAGAAUAGCUUUCAUUAAAGUAUUAAAUUUGGCAACCCUCCAAAAUGAAUACCUGUUGAUUUAAAAAAAUAAAUAUAUAGCCGGAAAAUGAAACAGCAGCUCUCCAAAAUAACAGAAGGUGAAAAUGUAUGGUCUGUUAAAAAAAAAAAAAUCUGUAAAUCAAAAAUGUUCUAUGUUUUUCUAAAAACUUAGUUUUUGUUAAAGGUAUUCUUUAUGUUGAUCUUUACAUAUUGUAUAUACAUGGAAAGAGAGAAAAAGCAGUGGAAACUAGAGUUCUUCAAAAAUGUCUGUAAUGUUGUUUACUAGAAUAAUUGGCUGGCUUUUACAGAAACAGAACACCGGUCCUCUUAAACUCCUUCUACAAAAUAGGAAUGAGCAGUGCUGUGGGGGAGAUAUCAUGUUUUGCAGCUGCCUGCCUAAUUUAUUUGAUGACCAACCACAUUUUCAGACAGGGGCAGAGUAGACUGCAUGAUCCAAAAUAGGACCGUGUCAGCAAGUGUUGUUUCAUGUUUCAGGGGUAUAAAAUGAUGACAGAUGAUCCUCCACAGCAUUUAAAAGGGCUCCCACGUAGUUGGCUCAUUUCUUCAGUAAUGUGUUGCCCCUGUUCUAACCACGACUUUGCAUCUUCUUUUACUAGAAGUGCUGUAGCAACUCAAUGAAUUUGAGGUCUAUAGUGCCUGAAAAGAAACUAUCACAAAGGUAUUUCUCUUAGGUUUUUGAAGUCAACCUGGUCUAAUGGAAAAAAAACACAUGUGGACAACACCUGCCACAGAUACCUGAUUUAUUAUUGUCAUUUCACUAAUUAAAAGUUGUUGAGAAAAA